AUAGCAAAGCAGGUUUUUUUCGGUUUCCAGACCAGGCACAACUUAGAUCUGCAUCCUACUACGUGGGAGAUAGAAGUCCGGCAGGUGGAGGCAGCAGCCUAUGUGGAAAUCUGGGUUGUAAAGCCACGCCCUGCCAGCCAGACCCUAAACCUGGCCAGUGUCCACCAGGACUGGGCUCGACCUCUAGCACACUGAUAACCUGCUCUCCCCUGCCCAACAGGGAUGCUCUCCUCAACAGCAAGGGGGCUCUAUGAGGAAGGGUGGCCCAGUUGUCUCCCAUGGCCCUUGCCCCAGCUCCGCCCCAUCUAGGGGUAGACAGUGUGUGACAGCUACGGUCCUUCUGGCACGAAGCUCCCCAGUGGCACAGAGUACCCACUCCCCACCGACCCUCCAGACCCCUUGCUGCUCUCCAUGCUCUGAGUGGUCACCUCCAGCAGACCCCUCACUCCAAAACCCGGGAUCCAAACAGGAUGCGCUGCCAACUCAGCCUGCUCUGAUGACUUGGCUCACGGUACAUGGAAGAAAUCCCUACCUGACCCGUCGAUCGGCCCGAAACUUCAACAUCUUUUUGGCAGCUCUGUCCCCAGUGCGGCAGCCUCAGAGGACCCACCGGCCACCCUGCUCCUACCAUCCCUCUGAGAACCAGCAAGCUCCCAGCCGAGACCCGCUGCACUCUGGGAGGAUUUCGCCUGCUGACAGCGGAGGCAAAGGUGGGGAGAGGCUUGGCUCCCGCUCUCCCGUUUCCCCCUCUGGAUCACAUCAUUCUGUUCAAGGGGCCUUAUCUGCUCCUGCAUUCUUCCCAAUUAAAAACCAACUCGGUUUACAUUUCCCACAAUCCUGGCGUGUCUGAUUCCUGAAACUCCCCCCAGGUCAUCUCUAGGAUAAAACACUACUCCCCCAGCCAACUUCUCCCCUCCAGUCCUGCUGUUUUCCUGCCUAUUGCUGCCACACACAGAGACCGAACUGGGUCAGGCCCUGCAGCACCUUCAGGUAUUUGCAGGUGGAGAGUCGGCUCCCGGAAGGAGCCCCCCGAACGACACUGCCUCUUUCCACGUCUGCCUACAGAGCACAACUCCACUCGUGCAGGCCCCUGGGAAGAGUUCCCAGGCCCCGCUGCUCCACUGGCAAGCGGCUCUCGCCCCGUCUUGAACCCAGUUCCCUUCUCUCCUCUCUGCCCCCUUCUUUUCUGCCGUUGCCCCACUCUUCUUCCUAUGUCACAGUUAUUUCCAGAAUGGCAAGAAGAGGGUGCCCACCCCCAAGCAAGCUGGGAACACCCCAAAAUGCUGAGCUUCUGGGCUGAGUGUCUAGGAGACGAGGCUGCUCCCCUGCCUGCUUUACCCUGCCUCCCCUCCCCUCUCACUCCCACCGCAGAGUGUCAAUCACACUUUCCUCACCCUCACGGCCAGUUAGGGAAUGCUGGGGGAGUUUCACCCUGAGCUCAGCCCCUGCCUAGGACAGAAAGCAGAAGCGCAGGCUCGGGGCCAAGGGUGGAAAUCACGAACCAGGGGCCCCGUGCAGCGUUCCUCCCCUGUGCUCCAGGCAGCGGUCCUGCCCCAGGCUCUCACUGCGCCACCUCCAGCUCCUGGCCGGGCCCAGCCUUCCUCUUACUCCCAUGAGAGGAAAGCCUAGAACAGCAGGUAAGGGUAGGAGGGGCUGAGGGCUCUUCAGUCAGGGCAAUGGGCUCACGUCUAAGUGUGUGUGUGUGUGUGUGAGAGAGACUUCUCCCACUAGUGAAACUUUGUGUGGAAUCCAUGCUCACCUUCUACUCUAGCUUGNNNNNNNNNNNNNNNNNNNNNNNNNNNNNNNNNNNNNNNNNNNNNNNNNNGUAGGUGGUCAAGAGCGGCUCCACCAAGCCUCUGUCUGUGCCCUCCCCCAGCUCCCUGGCCCGUCCCCAGGACCCCCCCCCCACCUCUCCAUGAUCCAGCCACUGGGCCCCACGGUGUCCUCUGGGGUUGAUAAGUGAUUGAAUAUUAUUCCUGGGCAUAGCCAUACCUGUACUGUUGGAACGCUGAAGUCCCAUUCCAAGUGCUAAGAACUGU
ensembl:lincRNA